GACGAGUGGCGAACUGGUGAGUAACACGUGGGUAACCUGCCCUUGAAGUAGGGGAUAACACUUGGAAACAGGUGCUAAUACCGUAUAACAACCAAAACCACCUGGUUUUGGUUUAAAAGACGGCUUCGGCUGUCACUUUAGGAUGGACCCGCGGCGUAUUAGCUUGUUGGUAAGGUAACGGCCUACCAAGGCGAUGAUACGUAGCCGACCUGAGAGGGUAAUCGGCCACAUUGGGACUGAGACACGGCCCAAACUCCUACGGGAGGCAGCAGUAGGGAAUCUUCCACAAUGGACGAAAGUCUGAUGGAGCAACGCCGCGUGAGUGAUGAAGGGUUUCGGCUCGUAAAACUCUGUUGUUGGAGAAGAACAGGUGUCAGAGUAACUGUUGACAUCUUGACGGUAUCCAACCAGAAAGCCACGGCUAACUACGUGCCAGCAGCCGCGGUAAUACGUAGGUGGCAAGCGUUGUCCGGAUUUAUUGGGCGUAAAGCGAGCGCAGGCGGUUUUUUAGGUCUGAUGUGAAAGCCUUCGGCUUAACCGGAGAAGUGCAUCGGAAACCGGGAGACUUGAGUGCAGAAGAGGACAGUGGAACUCCAUGUGUAGCGGUGAAAUGCGUAGAUAUAUGGAAGAACACCAGUGGCGAAGGCGGCUGUCUGGUCUGUAACUGA
rnacentral:rRNA from 1 species